UGAUAUUUCAAUAGAGGAAAACAAUAGGAAAACUGCAGUUUUCAUUGGAUCUUAAUGUAUUUAUCAGUCUCUAAUGCUUCCAUCUUCAAGCAGUUCUCUUUUAUUGACACGACAACACAAAUUGCAGAAGUAAAUUGAAUCACAGACUCAGAAUGUAAAAAUCAAUGAGAAAUAAUUUUGUAGCACUAAAGUGAAUAGUGUAAUGCUAGGUAUUCAUUUAAUUAACCAUGAGCCUUUCCACAUAAUGCACAAUCAUUGCCAGCUUUUCAGCUCAUAGUUGUUCCAGGAAUAAUGGGUUUGGGAUUCAUCUUUAGAAAACCUGCAUUAAUAUUUGAAAGCGUUUAAAUCCAUUAGUGGGUCAUCUGAACACUGCAGGUCACUUUUACAUUGCUAAUUGAAACAAUAGUAAUGGGUUAUAAUCUACUGUCUAAUAAUGCCUGGAGUGUUUUACCGCUUUUAUAUCUGCAGAUUCCAGGAAAUAUGUAAAUUUGUUGCUGAACUGUUAUAAAAAUAUGGAAAUUUAAGCCGCAGACAUCAAAGCAUUUUUUCCUAAAAAAAACACCGCGUUAAUAAACUGAAGAGUUACACUACAUUAUGGUGUCAGGAUAAAUUCCUUACUCUAGACCUUCCCUGUUCUCUCUUCUGUGCUCUGGGCGCAGCAUCUGGUACUCACAUUUUCCACGUUGCCAUUAGGAGAAAGUGAAUAUCAUUAAACCAGUUAAGUUGAAAGUUAAUGGAAGCUGCAAAGUGUUUGCCUUCUGUAUCUGCAAUGGAAACUCCACCUGCUGUCUUCUUGGUGUUUUUGUUCCUUGUCUUUAAGACCUGGUCUCAAAUUCAGAAGUUCAAUACCAGCGUCAGUUUGACUUGACACAAUCUAUGGUUGUAGUGUAUUGAUUUCACAAAUUGAACCUAUGAAAUGAAACUGUCAUCAAGAAGCUAUUGGACACCUAUAUGGACAUGCAUUUACCUCUCUGUCCAGUGCAAUUAUUUAUAAAUGUCUGUGGAAGAAUAGAGAGAGGAGGGAGGAAAGGAAGAGUAGAUUGUUCUGUGUCUUUCAGAGAAGAAGCUGGAGGUCUAAGGAGGAGGACAGCCCACCAGUCGAUGAUGAGCAGGCACAUCUGCUGCACCGAGCAUCCCAUGGGUGGUGGUGAGUUGUGUGAUGAUUACUUCACAGGUGCAACAACCUCAUUAUUCAGGUACGUCAGGAAGUGCUAAGACAAUUCCCAGCAGAGCUAAAAGUGGAACUCAAGCAAUAGUAACUCAGCUGGGUACAUCAAAUUACAUGAGGUGUUUCU
rnacentral:lncRNA from 1 species